rnacentral:rRNA from 1 species
UAACUCCGUUCCAGCAGCCGCGGUAAUACGGAGGAUCCGAGCGUUAUCCGGAUUUAUUGGGUUUAAAGGGUACGUAGGCGGGACGUUUAAGUCAGCGGUGAAAUUUCGGAGCUUAACUUUGAGCUUGCCGUUGAAACUAUCGUUCUUGAGUGUAGAUGAGGUAGGCGGAAUGUGUUGUGUAGCGGUGAAAUGCAUAGAUAUAACACAGAACCCCGAUUGCGAAGGCAGCUUACCGGGCUAACACUGACGCUGAGGUACGACAGCGUGGGGAUCAAACAGGAUUAGAUACCCUGGUAGUCCACGCCGUAAACUAUGAAUACUCGCUGUUUGCGAUAUACAGCAAGCGGCCAAGCGAAAGC